UCGAAAGAGAACCGGCGCACAGGUGCUGCAUGGCUGUCGUCAGCUCGUGUCGUGAGAUGUUGGGUUAAGUCCCGCAACGAGCGCAACCCUUGUCCUUAGUUGCUACGCAAGAGCACUCUAAGGAGACUGCCGGUGACAAACCGGAGGAAGGUGGGGAUGACGUCAAGUCCUCAUGGCCCUUAUGGGUAGGGCUUCACACGUCAUACAAUGGUCGGAACAGAGGGUUGCCAAGCCGCGAGGUGGAGCCAAUCCCAGAAAACCGAUCGUAGUCCGGAUCGCAGUCUGCAACUCGACUGCGUGAAGCUGGAAUCGCUAGUAAUCGCGGAUCAGCAUGCCGCGGUGAAUACGUUCCCG
rnacentral:rRNA from 1 species